rnacentral:lncRNA from 1 species
AUAACUCUGGCUGCCUGUCAUUGCUUUUCAGCACAGCGCGUGUGAGUUAACCAGCCUGCACCAGGCCACUGAGACCAGCUUUGUAGUAUCUACAUGGUGAAUAUUCUCUUCAGACAUCGCAAAACAGCUCAGCAUGU